AUUGAACGCUGGCGGCAUGCUUUACACAUGCAAGUCGAACGGUAACAGGCCGCAAGGUGCUGACGAGUGGCGAACGGGUGAGUAAUGCAUCGGAACGUGCCCAGUCGUGGGGGGUAGCUCGGCGAAAGCCGGAUUAAUACCGCAUAAGCUCUGAGGAGGAAAGCGGGGGACCGUAAGGCCUCGCGCGUUUGGAGCGGCCGAUGGCAGAUUAGGUAGUUGGUGGGGUAAAGGCUUACCAAGCCUACGAUCUGUAGCUGGUCUGAGAGGACGACCAGCCGCACUGGGACUGAGACACGGCCCAGACUCCUACGGGAGGCAGCAGUGGGGAAUUUUGGACAAUGGGCGCGAGCCUGAUCCAGCAAUGCCGCGUGCAGGAAGAAGGCCUUCGGGUUGUAAACUGCUUUUGUACGGAGCGAAAAGGCUCCCUCUAAUACAGGGGGCUCAUGACGGUACCGUAAGAAUAAGCACCGGCUAACUACGUGCCAGCAGCCGCGGUAAAAC
rnacentral:rRNA from 1 species